rnacentral:rRNA from 1 species
GAUGCUUUGGUGCCUUUCGGGAACUCUGAGACAGGUGCUGCAUGGCUGUCGUCAGCUCGUGUUGUGAAAUGUUGGGUUAAGUCCCGCAACGAGCGCAACCCUUAUCCUUUGUUGCCAGCGGUUAGGCCGGGAACUCAAAGGAGACUGCCAGUGAUAAACUGGAGGAAGGUGGGGAUGACGUCAAGUCAUCAUGGCCCUUACGAGUAGGGCUACACACGUGCUACAAUGGCGCAUACAAAGAGAAGCGACCUCGCGAGAGCAAGCGGACCUCAUAAAGUGCGUCGUAGUCCGGAUUGGAGUCUGCAACUCGACUCCAUGAAGUCGGAAUCGCUAGUAAUCGUGGAUCAGAAUGCCACGGUGAAUACGUUCCCGGGCCUUGUACACACCGCCCGUCACACCAUGGGAGUGGGUUGCAAAAGAAGUAGGUAGCUUAACCUUCGGGAGGGCGCUUACCACUUUGUGAUUCAUGACUGGGGUGAAGUCGUAACAAGGUAGGCGUAGUGCU